UACGAAGGGGGCUAGCGUUGCUCGGAAUCACUGGGCGUAAAGCGCACGUAGGCGGCUUUUUAAGUCAGGGGUGAAAUCCUGGAGCUCAACUCCAGAACUGCCUUUGAUACUAGAAGCUUGAGUCCGGGAGAGGUGAGUGGAACUGCGAGUGUAGAGGUGAAAUUCGUAGAUAUUCGCAAGAACACCAGUGGCGAAGGCGGCUCACUGGCCCGAUACUGACGCUGAUGCACGAAAAGCGUGGGGGAGCAAACAGG
rnacentral:rRNA from 1 species